UACAGAGGGUGCAAACGUUGCUCGGAAUUAUUGGGCGUAAAGCGCGUGUAGGCGGCUUGUUAAGUUGGUUGUGAAAACCCAUGGCUCAACCAUGGAAGGGCGUCCAAAACUGGCAAGCUAGAGUCCCGACGAGGAUGGCGGAAUUCCCAGUGUAGAGGUGAAAUUCGUAGAUAUUGGGAGGAACACCGGUGGCGAAGGCGGCGUUCUGGACUGUUUCUGACACUGAAAAACGAAAGCCAGGGGAGCAAACGGG
rnacentral:rRNA from 1 species